rnacentral:rRNA from 1 species
AUUGAACGCUGGCGGCAGGCCUAACACAUGCAAGUCGAGCGGAGCGGCGGACGGGUGAGUAAUGCCUAGGAAUCUGCCUGGUAGUGGGGGAUAACGUCAGGAAACGGGCGCUAAUACCGCAUACUAUCAGAUGAGCCUAGGUCGGAUUAGCUAGUUGGUGGGGUAAAGUCCUACCAAGGCGACGAUCCGUAACUGGUCUGAGAGGAUGAUCAGUCACACUGGAACUGAGACACGGUCAAGAGUCCUGCUGUAGGCAGCAGUGGGGAAGAGUGGACAAUGGGCGAAAGCCUGUUCCAGCCAGUCCGCGUGUGUGACGAAGGUCUUCGGAUUGUAAAGCACUUUAAGUUGGGAGGCGUUACCAACAGAAUAAGCACCGGCUAACUUCGGGCCAGCAGCCGCGGUAAUAC